rnacentral:rRNA from 1 species
UGUGACCUCAAAUCAGGUAGGACUACCCGCUGAACUUAAGCAUAUCAAUAAGCGGAGGAAAAGAAACUAACAAGGAUUCCCCUAGUAACUGCGAGUGAAGCGGGAAAAGCUCAAAUUUAAAAUCUGGCGGUCUUNUGGCUGUCCGAGUUGUAAUCUANAGAAGUGUUAUCCGCGCUGGACG